GACGAACGCUGGCGGCGUGCUUAACACAUGCAAGUCGAACGGUAAGGCCCUUGGGGGUACACGAGUGGCGAACGGGUGAGUAACACGUGGGUGAUCUGCCCUGCACUUCGGGAUAAGCCUGGGAAACUGGGUCUAAUACCGGAUAGGACCACUGCCUGCAUGGGUGGUGGUGGAAAGCUUUUGCGGUGUGGGAUGGGCCCGCGGCCUAUCAGCUUGUUGGUGGGGUGAUGGCCUACCAAGGCGACGACGGGUAGCCGGCCUGAGAGGGUGACCGGCCACACUGGGACUGAGAUACGGCCCAGACUCCUACGGGAGGCAGCAGUAGGGAAUUUUCCACAAUGGACGAAAGUCUGAUGGAGCAACGCCGCGUGCAGGAUGAAGGCUUUCGGGUUGUAAACUGCUUUUAUCUGUGAAGAUUAUGACGGUAGCAGAUGAAUAAGGAUCGGCUAACUCCGUGCCAGCCGCCGCAGUAA
rnacentral:rRNA from 1 species